rnacentral:rRNA from 1 species
UACAGAGGGGGCAAGCGUUAUUCGGAAUUAUUGGGCGUAAAGGGCGCGUAGGCGGCUUUGCAAGUGACGGGUGAAAUCCCUCGGCUUAACCGAGGAACUGCCUGUCAGACUGCAUGGCUUGAGACCGGGAGAGGUGAGUGGAAUUCCCAGUGUAGCGGUGAAAUGCGUAGAUAUUGGGAGGAACACCAGUGGCGAAGGCGGCUCACUGGACCGGUACUGACGCUGAGGCACGAAAGCAUGGGGAGCAAACAGGGA